rnacentral:rRNA from 1 species
UACGUAGGGUGCGAGCGUUGUUCGGAAUUAUUGGGCGUAAAGCGCGUGUAGGUGGUUUUGCAAGUCGAAUGUGAAAGCCCUGGGCUUAACCCAGGAAGUGCAUCCGAAACUGCAUGGCUAGAGGACGGUAGGGGAAGGUGGAAUUCCUAGUGUAGAGGUGAAAUUCGUAGAUAUUAGGAGGAAUACCUGUGGCGAAAGCGGCCUUCUGGGCCGUUCCUGACACUGAGACGCGAAAGCGUGGGGAGCAAACAGGAUUAGAUACCCCAGUA